rnacentral:lncRNA from 1 species
GUUUUAUUAUUAGCUUUAAUAUAGCCUAUUUUCUUAUCUCUAUUUUUUGUGAUUUUUUUUUAUUUUUCACUAAAGACUUUAUCAAGCUAAGCCUCGUCUGGUUUUAGCAGCCUUUCUCUUCUUGGCCAGCCAAAGUGGAUGGACCCACAGGUUAGUGCCUCUCACCUAAUGGGUGAGUUCUCCCUGAAGGUGCAGCAUAACUGGAGCACAAUUGAUUACUGGAUAGUCCUCCCUUUCUUGUUACCUCAGGGGAAGUUGCCUUGCCACAACUAAGAACAAUGGCUCACUCACACCCUUAUAUCGCCCUGGGGCUUUAAAUCCAUAGUACUGGCAACCUCAGAUUCAGGUCAAUGGGCUGGUCUGGAGCCAGCCCUGCAGGGCUGCUGCCUCCUUCGUCGAGCUACAUUCUCACCAGGAUAUCACUCUUAGCAGCCAGGCCUCCUAGUAGUAAGAGCAAUUAAGAUUUAGGCCUUUUUUCCCCCUGGAACUCACAGGUUCAAGGGUCCAUUUAAUUUUUCUUUCCUUCUGCUUAUUAAAGAAAAGAGAGAAAAAGCCCACAAACUGCAAUUAAAAUAUUUCCCAUCUUUACUUUGUAGCCUGUCAACUC